CAGAUCCUACAUUUUUGUCAUUGGAGAGAUGGAUCAGCUGGAACUUUAGGAGAAGAACAGGAACAAGUCUUUUCUACUUUUUCAAGACUCUAUAGUAAUUCAACAAAAACAAUGGGAGCAGCAAACAGACGAGAUUUUUUAACCGGAGCAAUGUUUUAUUGGAACGGCAGAAAA